UGGGUUGCAGAGAGAUAAGACUGCCGAGGU
rnacentral:piRNA from 1 species